UGACAGAGAACUUUCCAGAGAGUGGAUUGGUGCCUUCGGGAACGUCUGACACAGGUGCUGCAUGGCUGUCGUCAGCUCGUGUCGUGAGGAUGGUUGGGUUAACGUCCGUAACGAGCGCAACCCCUAUCUUUAGUUGCCAUCAGUUCGGCUGGGCACUCUAUGGAGACUGCCACCUAAAGUGGAGGAAGGUGGGGAUGACGUCAAGUCAGCAUGGCCCUUACGUCCGGGGCUACACACGUGCUACAAUGGCCGGUACAAAGGGUUGCGAAGCCGUGAGGUGGAGCGAAUCUCAAAAAGCCGGCCUCAGUUCGGAUUGGAGGCUGCAACUCGCCUCCAUGAAGUCGGAAUCGCUAGUAACCGCAGAUCAGCUACGUUGCGGUGAAUACGUUCCCGGGCCUU
rnacentral:rRNA from 1 species